GUGCGUGCGUAUGGCGUCGCGGUUAGUGUAGUGAUAGAUAGUGUGUGUUAGUUUAUCCUAUUGAAUGCGUCUUCCUCGCGUUGGAUUUGGUGAGUACCCGUAUCACAGGUCACACCGUGGGACUGACACCGCUGGGGCAACCCUUCGGAAUAAAGUCAAGUACAAAUUACGGUUUGCUAGGCGUUAGGCAUAGGGCGAUAGGCGGCGCGGCUAACCAUUCUCUUCCAGGUACAAACUAACCUUCUCUUCCAGGUACAUGUUAAUUAUCUAGUCUUCCCAAGUAAUGCCCUGGUUAGCGCACCGUGGUGGCGAUAACUUUCAAAUACUGAGAAUUUAGCACAAGCAAGGACAUAGUAUUGGAAUUUAUUGUAUUGUGAAUGUUGAGUUUGGUAUUGUCGACAUUUUGAAGCUCCCAAUGGCUACUCGUAUCCUUAAAUCAACUAAAACCAUAAUAACACUGAAUAUUGCACACAAAAUUCCGUGGUAAUUUUGAAAGAGUGAGACUUGAACACAUACAAGGACAUAGUAUUGGAAUUUGUAGCGGGCAAGGAGAAGAGAGUGAAUUCCUUUAGAAAGCCACAGGUGAUGAUGGCGUCGGUACCUCCCGCCAAGACACAGGGGUGAGCUCACUGGAGUGCCGUUAUAUUUGCAGCCUGUAUAGAGGUGACAGUGCCGUGACAGAGGUGGUGGAGGUUAUUAAUGCACCAAGGAACAGGUGUGUAAGGUGUGGCAGUGGUGUUGAUAAGGGAUUAGUGUGUAAGGAGGGAAAGAAGUGUGGUGGGCGAGUGCACGUCUGCUCCAUGUCAACAAACUUAUGGUGACGGCCGUGUGGUGUUUGGUGUUGCUUAUACACCCCAUAAACACACUCAACAUGCCCAUAUACACCCACACACACAAAGUGAAGUGAUGACAUUCCCGACAGCACCAGCGGCGAGACAAGAGAGCAAUGCAACUCUUCACCACAACGCCUCACCAUCAUUUAUUUCAGGCUCAGGCGUGUAGAUGGAAGCAGUAGAA